rnacentral:rRNA from 1 species
UACGUAGGGUGCGAGCGUUAAUCGGAAUUACUGGGCGUAAAGCGUGCGCAGGCGGUUUUGUAAGCCAGAUGUGAAAUCCCCGGGCUUAACCUGGGAAUGGCAUUUGGGACUGCACAGCUGGAGUGCGGCAGAGGGGAUGGAAUUCCGCGUGUAGCAGUGAAAUGCGUAGAUAUGCGGAGGAACACCGAUGGCGAAGGCAAUCCCCUGGGCCUGCACUGACGCUCAUGCACGAAAGCGUGGGGAGCAAACAGG